rnacentral:rRNA from 1 species
UGAGGAAUAUUGGUCAAUGGACGCAAGUCUGAACCAGCCAUGCCGCGUGCAGGAUGACGGCUCUAUGAGUUGUAAACUGCUUUUGUACGAGGGUAAACGCAGAUACGCGUAUCUGUCUGAAAGUAUCGUACGAAUAAGGAUCGGCUAACUCCGUGCCAGCAGCCGCGGUAAUACGGAGGAUCCAAGCGUUAUCCGGAUUUAUUGGGUUUAAAGGGUGCGUAGGCGGUUUUAUAAGUUAGAGGUGAAAUGUUCGGGCUUAACCCGGAAACUGCCUCUAAUACUGUAGGACUAGAGAGUAGUUGCGGUAGGCGGAAUGUAUGGUGUAGCGGUGAAAUGCUUAGAUAUCAUACAGAACACCGAUUGCGAAGGCAGCUUACCAAACUAUAUCUGACGUUGAGGCACGAAAGCGUGGGGAGCAAACAGGAUUAGAUACC